GUAAAAGGGGACGCGGAGGAGAAGGAAAGUCGCUCAAGCAGUGGACAGAGCGGAGAAAGCGACUUCGGGUCUGCUGGAGUUUGCUGGAGGUGCACUCCAGACUCUGUUUGCCUGCCUAUCACCAACAGAGGCUGCAGAACAGCAAAGAUUGCUGUCUGUAACUUCCUCUGGAAGCUUCAUCCCAGAGGGGCACCUGCCAGAUGCCAGCCGGAGCUCUCCUCUAUGAGCCGCAGAGAGAAGAAGCUGCCCAAGAAUGGAAAGGAAGAAAUAUAUCACAUCAUCUGUCUGUCCACAGGCUUUCCUUGGGGCUUAUGAAGAUUUUGACAUUACUGAAAUUAUUGGAAUUACUUUGAGGAACUUUGCCUGUUGAGUGUCUUAUAUGCACAUAAGAACUUUUCCCAUUUGCAGGUGAAAUUUGUAUUUGUUUAUGAAAAUAAUUGAUUGGAUUGAAACAACAUCGGAAUUCAGUUGGCUUUUAGUUUGUAUAUUUACUGUACUUAAUGUGCCAUGGGUUGUGAUUUUGAAUAGAAUCAUAGACAUCCUGUGCAUUUUGGAAGCUUGCCACUGGGAAAGGCUUAAUAUUUGUAAAUUAAUAGUUUGCACUCCUCAAAAAGUGGUUAGGGCAAUAAUUGAAUGUUAGCAAUAAAGCUUAAAAUUUUCCAUCUUUUGAGAUUUCUCCCUCUUUUAAUAAGUAACUUUGUCAAGCAACAUUCUCUAUUGAAGGGAAGAAAACUUUCAAUUGGGUCUUAAUAUACUAUUCACCUUUCCCUUUAUUAAUAUAAAGAUUAUGUUUAGUACUGUGUUUAACAAGAAAUGUACUUACACAAGUAUUUAAUCUUAGCUUUCUUAAGGAAAUAGGCAAAUAUCUUAGUUACUAAUAUUAAAUAUAUUAAAGCUUACACAUAAAGCACUAAAGGAUGUCAGAAUUGAGAAUUUUUUAAUGAAAGAAAAAAUAUUUUGAUGAUUAAUAAAUUAAAAUGUUCUGGGCUGAUUUAUAGAGAAAUAUUCCACCAAAGGUAUCAGUCUUCAUGUCAACUUGCCCUUCCUAACAGUUCUAUAAUUAUCAUUGAGUUUUAAAAAUGUUUAAAUUGGAUUUUCAUGUCUAGGAUUAAGUGUAUAUUAUAGAUAAAAAUGUAGAAUAUGUAUAUAUUUUGUAUUUUCAUGUGAAAUAUAAUCUCUAAUACUACAUAAAUUGUAAUGUAUUACAUUGCUAAUGGAAAUAAAAAUAUGCUGAUACUUUUC
rnacentral:lncRNA from 1 species